rnacentral:lncRNA from 1 species
UGGUCCGAACUCCAAGCUCUAGCAGCGGAGAGGGGCGCCAAGCUGCAGCAGUCUCUGGCGUACCAGCAGUUCCUGGCCAAGCUGGACGAGGAGGAGGCCUGGAUCAGCGAGAAGCAGCAGCUGGUGGUGGUGAGCGAGUGCGGCGACAGCAUGGCCGCGGUGCAGGGGCUGCUGAAGAAGCACGAGGCGCUGGAGGCCGAGCUGGGCGCGCGCGGGGAGCGCGUGCGCGAGCUGGCCGCCGCCGCCGACCGGCUGCUGGCCGCCGGCAACCUGCACUCCGAGGCGCUGGCCCACCGCAUGGCGGCGCUGCAGUCAAAACUGGAGAAGCUGAC